rnacentral:lncRNA from 1 species
AAAGGUCACAUUACACUAACAAGACUGCCCUCCAUCCGGACUGACAGAACCCAGCUGUUGGGUUUUAGCCAGGGUCUUCCUGUGCCUUAGAGAGAUCUACACAGAGAAGAUGUGUCUGAAACAAGCAAAACACUCUGGAUAUGCAUUCUCGUGGCUCUUUCCGAUUGUUCUUUUCCAGGAGGCAGCAAUGAAGGUCUGCAUAGUGAGUACAAUUAGUGCUGCAAUUAUAUCUGACUUUUGAGGAAAGAGGAAAAAGAUACGAAUGAAUGCACAUGAAUGACCAGAACACCCAAGAAUUUCCCUCUCUGGAAAUCCCUCCAGACCAGCCUUAUUUGUGAGAUUUCUUUUUCUUUUCUUUCAUAGUCAUGAUGUACUAUAAGAAGAAGAAAACUAAGCCAGGAAACCCUCCCUUAUAUACAGAAUUGCUUCUCUUUUUUUGAAGCAGAAGUAAAAUUAUGAUUUACAUAGUGAUGAGGAUGGUCCUGAAGGAGUUAAGGGGAUUCCUUUUACUAAUAUGCUGAUUCCAGAGACAUUCAUCACUUUAAAAAAUUGAAAUACAAGUGGCUACAUCACACAGUCUUUCUCCAACAUGCAAGUUUGAAGUUAAAAUUGGUUGUUAAGUUCUGAAAAGGCUCACAUAUAGCAUGGCUAAGCCAAGUAAAGCAAGUGGGGAGGAGAAUUCUAUCAACUGCCCAGAUUCUGUGGCUGCCCAGGAACCGGCUGGCAGGGA